rnacentral:rRNA from 1 species
AAUAUUGGUCAAUGGGCGGAAGCCUGAACCAGCCAAGUCGCGUGAAGGAUGAAGGCAUUAUGUGUUGUAAACUUCUUUAGCUGUGGAGAAAUAAGGGGCAUGUAUGCCCUGAUGCUAGUACACAGAGAAUAAGGAUCGGCUAACUCCGUGCCAGCAGCCGCGGUAAUACGGAGGAUCCGAGCGUUAUCCGGAUUCAUUGGGUUUAAAGGGUGCGCAGGCGGUGCCUUAAGUCAGCGGUAAAAUCGUGGGGCUCAACCCCAUCCCGCCGUUGAUACUGGGGCACUUGAUUACGGUCGAGGCAGGCGGAAUUCGUCGUGUAGCGGUGAAAUGCAUAGAUAUGACGAAGAACACCGAUUGCGUAGGCAGCCUACCAGGCCGUUAAUGACGCUCAUGCACGAAAGUGCGGGGAUCGAAC